ensembl:lncRNA
CUUUCUGAGUCAUCACCCACUGGGGUGGGUUUUUCAGGAAUGCAACUGCCUUUGAGUCACCAUGUUCCCUUCUGCAGUGUAUAGUGGAAUAGAAGGGCUCAGCCCCCAGGAGAACCUCAUCUGAGGACCCAUAACCUGAGGGUGCUAUUGCAGGAAAAGCCAAAUGGAAGCUCCCAGAGCUGCCCUCCCUGCCAGAGAGUCAAAGGAAAGCAGAAACAUUUUCCCGAGGGAACGGCAGGGAUUUGUGUCGUCAUCAGAGACUGGAAAUACACAAGGAUGGUUAUACUUCUAUCACCAUCUUGGCGCAGAUGACCACAAGCUUAGUCAGGAAGAGAUUCCUAUUGCACUGAUUCGAUUUACUUACUGCAACAGAUCAGCAUGGACUCCGGCCCCUCAGGGGCAGCUACUUAUUGAGAAGAUGCAUUAGUCUACCUCAGUGAAAACACUGAUCACGAAGCAGUUUGCCUUGACCUUACAAGACACCACAAGCUGUCCACCUUCACUGCUGUGUUCCAAGGUUAUGUCCGAUGCUCUUUCUCCGCCACGAUUGGGUACAGAGGAUUGUACCCAAUACCACGAUUGGUCAUCUCGUCUCACCAUCUCAAGUGAUUUUAUUUUAGUUUGUCACAUCGAUGGCAAGUUGGAGUGUCUGGAGAGUAGAGGAACCUACACACUUAUGCCUUGAUGAGCAGCAUGAGAGGGUCCUGACACCUGAGACCAUGAGGCCCUCAAAUGAUGCUUCCAGGCAUCCCAGCCAGCGACAGAGACAGCGAAGCCUCACUAGUCUGGUUUCCAUACCUCCCGCUUGCCUUGAGCCUGGCUGACACAUGCCCUCCUUGUGAUGGAUGUCACACUCAACAGCGACAAGCAUUUGGGCACUUGGCGGAGAUUGUCCUGGGAAGGAAGCGUUCUUGUUGUCAUAAGGACAAAUGACUCAGUGAAUAUGAGCCUGGCAAACAGCUCCUGCUUCUAUGAACAGCCACGGACACCCCAAAGAAACCAUCGGGUACCAACACUGGCUUGAGACACGAACAAGCGUAUGGUGACGUGUACUGUUUCAGGUACCCCCACCUUCUUGGGGUCACUGGUUGCUUCUGACUUUAGCUAGUAGGAGUAUGACCCCAGUCUUCUGGGUCACCUGGGUAAAUCUCUGUAUCAUCUUGGCCUGACGCCCUGAUUUCUGUUCCCCGAAUCCCUCUUUUAUGCCACACUGUUGCUACAGGCUUCUAGACUAACAGAAUGGCCUUAUGGGAGGGAAGUGGGCCAUUUGGGUUUCACUUCCUCAUCCAACUGACCCCUGUCUCUGCUCACGUGUCCAGACUCAACACAGAGCAGUCCCUGUCACACUCUUAGGCAGCCCCCUUCUCCUAGGCUUCCUGUCACACCUGCUUGGACCGUUGCUGUAUUUGUUCUUGGGCAGUUGUAUGUCCUUGGAUUCUUAGUUUCUCUUAAUUUGGGCUGACGUGAGUUAGUGAAAAGAUAAGGUUGAAGAGGUUGAUAAAUGUCUCUUUCAACAGUCUCCUGGGGCUAAACUUUCCACCUACUGAGAGAGAGCACUUGGAAGUCACAUGGGCACUUUGGUGUCUUGUAGUGCCAUAGGGGAGCCUCUGGCAUUCUAUAGGUGGGGACAGUCAUCCUAAUAUUUUCACCAGAGCUUUCCCAUUGAAAAUACCAACAGCUUCCAUCCAAAGACACUGCUCUAACUGGAUCAGCAUUCUUUGCAGAGUUAGAGGUACCGGAUGGAAGAUCCUUGGAUAACAAAAAUCAGAUGGAUGAACCCAGUGAAUGGGGAAGCAUGCAGACAGCCCAGGUGUACACGGCACUUUAUGAAUAUUGGACAACUAUAGGAAAUGCAACUACGAGAUUUCUCCAGAGGAGAGCCCUCAUCCAGUGGCUGAUGGAAGCAGAGACAGACAUCCACAGAUAUACACUGAGCUGAAAUCGGGAAUUUAGUUGAAGAGAGGGAGGAAUGAAGAUCGAAGGGGUCAGUACCAGGUUGGAGAAACCCACAGGAACAGUUGGCUGGAACAAGGGAGAGCACAUCGACCCCAGAUGCUGUCUGGGAGGCCAGUACAAGACUGAUCCAGACCCCUGAACAUGGAUGUCAAUAAGGAGGCCUCUGCACUCCAGGGAGCCUCUGGUGGUGGAUUAGUAUUUUUCCCUGGUACAAGAAGGGACUUUGAG